rnacentral:rRNA from 1 species
AUACGGAGGGUGCAAGCGUUAAUCGGAAUUACUGGGCGUAAAGCGCGCGUAGGCGGCUUGUUAAGUCGGAUGUGAAAGCCCCGGGCUUAACCUGGGAAUUGCAUUCGAUACUGGCAAGCUAGAGUCUGAUAGAGGGAAGUGGAAUUCCGGGUGUAGCGGUGAAAUGCGUAGAUAUCCGGAGGAACACCAGUGGCGAAGGCGGCUUCCUGGAUCAAGACUGACGCUGAGGUGCGAAAGCGUGGGUAGCAAACAGGAUUAGAUACCCUGGUAGUCCACGCCGUAAACGAUGAGAACUAGCCGUUGGGGGAAUUUAUUCCCUUUGUGGCGCAGCUAACGCGAUAAGUUCUCCGCCUGGGGAGUACGGCCGCAAGGUUAAA